ACCUUAUCAAGAGAGGCGGAGGGACAGGCCCUAUGAAGCCCAGCAACCACUUCCAAUAUUUGGGGGACGGUGCUAAAUCCUACUUAACGGAAACGUUAGAGAGAUGAGGU
rfam:Terrisporobacter sp. 08-306576 Contig161, whole genome shotgun sequence.